rnacentral:rRNA from 1 species
AGAGUUUGAUCCUAGCUCAGGGUGAACGCUAGCGGUGCGCCUAACACAUGCAAGUCGAGCGAUGAAGUUUUCUACACAGAGCAGAAAAACAAUAUACCUUUUCUCUUCUCUGUGUAGAAAAUAGAUUAGCGGCAAACGGGUGCGUAACACGUUGAUACUUCCCCCUAAGUCAGGGAUAGCCUGGAGAAAUCCAGAUUAAUACCGGAUAGUCCCGAAAGGGUAAAGCAGCAAUGCGCUCAGGGAAAGGUCUGCGGCCUAUCAGCUAGUUGGUGAGGUAAUAGCUCACCAAGGCAAUGACGGGUAGCUGGUCUGAGAGGACGGCCAGCCACAAUGGGACUGAGACACGGCCCAUACUCUACGGGAGGCAGCAGUGAGGAAUCUUCCACAAUGGGCGAAAGCCUGAUGGAGCGACACCGCGUGAAGGAUGAAGCCUUUGUUGGUGUAAACUUCUUUUCUCUUGGAAGAUAAUGACGGUACAAGAGGAAUAAGGGGCGGCAAACUUCGUGCCAGCAGCCGCGGUAAUACGAGGGCCCCAAGCGUUAUCCGGAAUUACUGGGCGUAAAGCGUCUGUAGGUGGUUUUUUAAGUUUCGUAUGAAACUCCAGGGCUCAACCCUGGAUUGUGCGAAAAACUGGGGAACUUGAGUGUGGGAGAGGCAAGCAGAACGGUAUGAGUAGGGGUGCAAUCCGUUGAUACAUACCAGAAUACCAAAAGCGAAGGCAGCUUGCUGGAACACUACUGACACUGAGAGACGAAAGCGUGGGGAGCGAAAGGGAUUAGAUACCCCUGUAGUCCACGCCCUAAACGAUGGAUGCUAGGUGUUGGACGUAAGUUCAGUGCUCAAGCUAACGCAUUAAGCAUCCCGCCUGAGGAGUACGGCCGCAAGGUUAAAACUCAAAUGAAUUGACGGGGACCCGCACAAGC